UCUUAAGUUAUCGGCUGAAGGUACGUCUGUUGAAUUUAGACAGUUGCAUGCUAAACAUCCAGACAUUCAUUGUUCAUACUUUCCUGUGUUGCGCUGGUCCAAUUUGAUUGUUCAUAGACAUGUUGGAUACCUGAAGCUGUUCAUAGACAUGUUGGAUACCUGAAGCUGUGAAUUUGAACUCUCUGUUUGGCAUAUUCCCCACCUCUCUGCUAUGCCUUUAUUGUAAUGUACUGUAGCAUUUUUAUGGGCAACCUGCCAUUAGCGUGUAACACCAGAGUGGGUGAUAAACUGAAGUGCCAUGUUCUUAUAUCCCGUUUAAAUAUGAUAUGUUUUAGUUGAUUGUGGUGUGUUCAUUAAUGGACAAUCCACAAUUGUGAGUACUGAGUAGUGUCAAGGAUGAACUUCCAUUGUGAUAUGCGGUUCUCUAGCCUCAGUAUUUAUUUGAAGUUACUGUGCAUGCUUCUACUUCAUGCUCCUAUAGCAAGUUAUCAAGCUGGGUGGUUCCAUUUUCAAUUGGCCUAUGACAUGACACAUGUACUAUAUUUGGUUCCUUCUAGGAUAUGUCCAAGCUUGAUUGCCAACUUAUGUUUGCCAUGUCUUCAUGAACUAUGCCUCUUUCAUGAAUUAAAUUUCUCCAAAAAAUGCCUGCUAAAUGUCAGCUUGCAAUCUUGGACAGGUG
rnacentral:lncRNA from 1 species